rnacentral:sRNA from 1 species
CGCACGCUGCCCCGCGUACUCUGGAGGG